rnacentral:lncRNA from 1 species
GUAGUAAAUCGCAUCUAAGAGAAAAUUUUGUUUCUCCAACGAUGAGUUAGAAGAAAAUGAACAAACGAAUAAAGGAUUUCGAGUCCGUACAGUUGAUGAUUUUAAUUCACCCAGAAAAGCCUUAGAUACCCAAUAAUGUCUAAUUCACACACACUUAUCUCAUACAAUGGAUUAUACUCAUUAUGGUUAUCAAAACUGAAAUAUAUGAUGUACCACAUACAAGGAGCUAGGUAGUGGAGCCAAUAUUGACAAUUUUUCAGACGUUGACUUUCUUGAAGAUAAUUCUACCGACUCAGAUGAAGCCAUACCUUAUUGGAGCGAAUUAUGAAACUGAAGGGUGAGAAUAUUGUUGAUAGGUUUUUAUUCCUGAUCUAUUUUACUGUGCUAUUAGCUAACAUACCCACCUGUUGACAGGACAUAUUGUAUAAUAUCUAAUUGUGUGCAUGGA